rnacentral:misc_RNA from 1 species
GAAAUGCGAUAAGUAAUGUGAAUUGCAGAAUUCAGUGAAUCAUCGAAUCUUUGAACGCACCUUGCGCUCCUUGGUAUUCCUUGGAGCAUGCCUGUUUGAGUAUCAUGAAAUCUUCAAAGUAAAUCUUUUGUUAACUCAAUUGGUUUCUACUUUGGUAUUGGAGGUCUUUGCAGCUUCACACCUGCUCCUCUUUGUUCAUUAGCUGGAUCUCAGUGUUAUGCUUGGUUCCACUCGGCGUGAUAAGUUAUCUAUCGCUGAGGACACUGUAAAAGGUGGCCAAGGUAAAUGCAGAUGAACCGCUUCUAAUAGUCCAUUGACUUGGACAAUAUUUUUAUGAUCUGAUCUCAAAUCAGGUAGGACUACCCGCUGAACUUACGC